rnacentral:misc_RNA from 1 species
AAGUCGUAACAAGGUUUCCGUAGGUGAACCUGCGGAAGGAUCAUUAAAGAGUCAGGGUCCGCAAGGGCCCAAACUCCCACCCUUUUGUCGUCGCGAAUCGCGUUGCCUCGGCGGGUAAACUCCCCCGGGAGGAGGGCCUCGCAAGGCCCGCCCGCCGCAGGUCCAAAUCAAUAACCAUGCUGUAACGGUGAAGUCGGAGCGAUUUAAUCAAAUGAAUCAAAA